AUAAAAAUGCCAGAGUCUCUUAUGGGAUUGGUUUAGGACCAGUUUACGGCUGUAUAGCCUUUUUAUA
rnacentral:tRNA from 1 species